rnacentral:rRNA from 1 species
GACGAACGCUGGCGGCGUGCUUAACACAUGCAAGUCGAACGGAAAGGCCCUGCUUUUGUGGGGUGCUCGAGUGGCGAACGGGUGAGUAACACGUGAGUAACCUGCCCUUGACUUUGGGAUAACUUCAGGAAACUGGGGCUAAUACCGGAUAGGAGCUCCUGCUGCAUGGUGGGGGUUGGAAAGUUUCGGCGGUUGGGGAUGGACUCGCGGCUUAUCAGCUUGUUGGUGGGGUAGUGGCUUACCAAGGCUUUGACGGGUAGCCGGCCUGAGAGGGUGACCGGCCACAUUGGGACUGAGAUACGGCCCAGACUCCUACGGGAGGCAGCAGUGGGGAAUAUUGCACAAGGGGCGGAAGCGUGAUGCAGCAACGCCGCGUGCGGGAUGACGGCCUUCGGGUUGUAAACCGCUUUCGCCUGUGACGAAGCGUGAGUGACGGUAAUGGGUAAAGAAGCACCGGCUAAGUACGUG